AUGACAACUGGAGUGUGUCCUUUGCAUUCACUGCACAUCAGUGCAGUCCAAAUAUUAUAUGCAAUCAAGCUGCUGGUGUCAGGCAGUGGGCAAAUGGAGAAUGGAGACGAUGACGCCGCGGUCCAUGGAGCUGUUCGUGACGCACGAUCACGCGGCGAAGGAGCAAGCGGAUUCUCAGCUGACAUGGUUGCAGCUGGAGGAACACCCCGCGUGGUUGAGCAGGGGCACACUUUUGAGAGGUUCGUGUACUUUGUGAGCACAUUGGACAUGCUGGAGAUGGUGAAUAUAUUCUAUGCUAAAAUGUUUCAUCUAGAUGGGGCUAACAAACGUCAAACCUAA
rnacentral:rRNA from 1 species